AUUACGUCCGUCUACUUCAUAGGCUGUUCACAUUGAAGAGUUCCAGCUCAAGGAUACUUACUAAUGAAAGGCCAUCAUUGAAGAAGCCUGCAGGAUGUCGACUUCUGAGGAAGAGACUGAGUUUUGGCUUCGGUUUCCCUGGAACUCUAAAUCAGAAAGCAAGUAGUUGAAUUGCACCACUCAAGCAUGUUGCUGCUGCUCAGUCUGUAGCCAUAUUCUCUUUUUAUG